rnacentral:lncRNA from 10 species
GCUGCUCUGCUUAUGGAGUAGCCAUUCUUUAUUUCUUUACUUUCUUAAUAACUUACUUGCUUUCACUUUACUCUAUGGACUUGCCCCAAAUUCUUUCUUGUGGGAGAUCCAAGAACACUCUCUUGGGGUCUGGAUCAGGACCCCUUUCUUAUAACACCACCACCUGCUUUCUUGGGUCUCCAGCUUGCAGAUGGCAGAUUGUGGGACUUACUUCUUAGCCUUCAUAACUGCAUGACUAAUUUAUCAUAUUAAAUCUUAUUUUCUUUAUAUAUAUCUCCAUCCUACUGGUUUCUCUGGAGAACCCUAAUACAUUUCCCAUCUCUCUGCAGCUAGAAUCAGCCAGAAACAUAUAAGGAGACUCCACCAGGAGUGGGGAGUUCUUGGGAAAGCUUUUGCUUCUGAAAAAAGAUAAAAGUACACAGGAGAGCUGUCUGGUGCCAUUCCUUGAGCAUGUGAGAGACUGUGUCACCGGGAGCAGCAGUUAUCUGUGGCCAUAAGUUGAGAUGACUGGAUGAAAUGCUAACAUGUUGAGAAGACAAUGCAUAGGAGUGAAUGAGACAGAAAGCAAGACCAUGAGGAUGACUAAGAAGAGCAAGUACAACAUGGCUGAGACUAAGUGUCCAGGGAGUUGAGAAUAAGUGGCCUAUUGUCAUGUCCUAUAUAAGUAGAGUAUAU